GGGCUGUUGGUCUAGCGGUAUGAUUCUCGCUUUGGGUUCAACCAUGUUCUGCGAGAGGUCCCGGGUUCAAUCCCCGGACAGCCCC